UACAGAGGUCUCAAGCGUUGUUCGGAGUUACUGGGCGUAAAGGGUGUGUAGGCGGUUCUUUAAGUUUGGUGUGAAAUCUCCCGGCUCAACUGGGAGGGUGCGCCGAAUACUGAGGGACUAGAGUACGGGAGAGGAAAGUGGAAUUCCUGGUGUAGCGGUGAAAUGCGUAGAUAUCAGGAGGAACACCGGUGGUGUAGACGGCUUUCUGGACCGACACUGACGCUGAAACACGAAAGCGUGGGUAGCAAACAGG
rnacentral:rRNA from 1 species